UUGGGAAUAGUUAAAUAGGUAUAACAAUAGGCUUUGACCUUAUUAUUCUUAGUUCGAAUCUAAGUUCCCAAG
rnacentral:tRNA from 1 species